rnacentral:rRNA from 1 species
CUGCAGUAAAGAAUAUUGGUCAAUGCACGAAAGUGUGAACCAGCGACACCACGUGAGUGAAUGAAGGUCCAUCUGACUGUAAAGCUCUUUCGUUGGGGAGAAUAAUGAUAGUACCCAAAGAAGAAGUCCCGGCUAACUCCGUGCCAGCAGCCGCGGUAAUACGGGGGGGGCGAGCGUUACUCGGAAUGAUUGGGCGUAAAGAGUUCUAAGGUUGCCUUUUGCAUUGUUGGAACGAUAAGGAUAGGGCCCAACCCUAUUUCGUUUUUUAAAUACUAUUAGGCUAGAGUUUAUCAGGGGGCGAUAGAAUUCACAGAUGAGGGGUAAAAUCCGAAGAUUUUGUGAGGAAAACCGGAGGCGAAGGCGAUCGCCUGGUAUAAACUGACACUACAUGAACGAAGGUGUGGGGAGCGAAAGGGAUUAGAGACCCCUGUAGUCCACACAGUAAACGAUGAGUGCUAAAUCUCUGAUGUAUUUUGGGGGUUACAGCUAACGCGUUAAGCACUCCGCCUGGGGAGUACGGUCGCAAGACUAAAACUCAAAGGAAUUGGCGGGGAUUUAUACAAGCGGUGGAACAUGUGGUUUAAUUCGAUAAUACGCGCAAAACCUUACCAGUUCUUGACAGCUUGGUAUUCGUACCAAGUACAGGUGUUGCAUGGCUGUCGUCAGUUCGUGUUGUGAGAUGUUGGGUUAAGUCCUUUAACGAACGUAACCUUUGUUUUCAGUAGGGAGAUACGAGAUUGUAUUACACCCUGAAAAUACUGCAGGUAAAAAGCCUGAGGAAGGUGAAGAUGACGUCAAGUUUCAUGGCCCUUAUGAACUGGGCUACACACAUGUUACAAUGGCAACUACAGAGGGAAGCAAUGAUGAAAGUCGGAGCAAAGCCGAAAAGGUUGCCUUAGUUCGGAUUGUAGGCUGCAACUCGCCUACAUGAAGUUGGAAUCGCUAGUAAUCGCGGAUCAGAACGCCGCGGUGAAUAUGUAGAUGAAUCUUGUACACACCGCCCGUCACAUCCUGGGAAUUGAAUGCGUUUGAAAGUUUUUUGGUCCUAUAUUAGGAUUGAAGUAUGAGCUGAGAAUGAAGUCUUUGACUGGGAUGAAGUCGUAACAAGG